rnacentral:tRNA from 1 species
CGCGGGGUGGAGCAGCACGGUAGCUUCGUCGGGCUCAUAACCCGAAGGGUCGCAGGUUCAAAUCCUGUCCCCGCAACCA